GGAAAUAAAGAUAAUGGACUCUGCCAACCAUAGGGGGGUGUCAAAAUUAUUCUCUUUUUCGUUUUUUUUUUCAUCCUCUUUUUCGUUUUAGACUCUUUUUUUCUUUUUCCCUUUUUACAUUUGGUCUAA
rnacentral:ribozyme from 12 species